rnacentral:rRNA from 1 species
GAUGAACGCUAGCGGCAGGCUUAACACAUGCAAGUCGAGGGGCAGCAUGACGGAACCUUCGGGUUUUGUUGAUGGCGACCGGCGCAAGGGUGCGUAACGCGUGAGCAACUUGCCCGUUUCAGGGGGAUAACCGGUGGAAACGCCGACUAAUACCCCAUAGUAUCAUAUUCAGGCAUCUUUAUAUGAUUAAAGAAUUUCGGAAACGGAUAGGCUCGCGUGACAUUAGCUAGAUGGCGGGGUAACGGCCCACCAUGGCGACGAUGUCUAGGGGUUCUGAGAGGAAGGUCCCCCACACUGGAACUGAGACACGGUCCAGACUCCUACGGGAGCAGCAGUGAGGAAUAUUGGUCAAUGGGCGCGAGCCUGAACCAGCCAAGUAGCGUGAAGGAUGACUGCCCUACGGGUUGUAAACUUCUUUGUUUGGGAAUAAAUGAUACUACGUGUAGUAUUUUGCAUGUACCUUACGAAUAAGCAUCGGCUAAUUCCGUG